rnacentral:rRNA from 1 species
AGAAUCAACGCUGGCGGCGUGCCUAACACAUGCAAGUCGAACGAGAAAGUGGAGCAAUCCAUGAGUAAAGUGGCGCACGGGUGAGUAACACGUGACUAACCUACCCUUGAGUGGGGGAUAACCUAGGGAAACCUGGGCUAAUACCGCAUAAUACCUUCGGGUCAAAGGAGCAAUUCGCUUAAGGAGGGGGUCGCGGCCGAUUAGUUAGUUGGCGGGGUAAUGGCCCACCAAGACUGUGAUCGGUAUCCGGCCUGAGAGGGCGCACGGACACACUGGAACUGAAACACGGUCCAGACUCCUACGGGAGGCAGCAGUGGGGAAUUUGCGCAAUGGGGGAAACCCUGACGCAGCAACGCCGCGUGGAGGAUGAAGUCCCUUGGGACGUAAACUCCUUUCGAUCGGGACGAUUAUGACGGUACCGGAAGAAGAAGCCCGGCUAACUUCGCGCCAGCAGCCGC